GAUGAACGCUAGCUACAGGCUUAACACAUGCAAGUCGCGGGACCGGCGCACGGGUGAGUAACGCGUAUCCAACCUGCACUUCACCACGGGAUAACCCGGCGAAAGUCGGACUAAUACCGUAUGGUGAAGGAUGGGGAUGCGUCCGAUUAGCUGGUUGGCGGGGUAAAGGCCCACCAAGGCGACGAGCAGUAGCGGGUCUGAGAGGAUGAUCCGCCACACUGGGACUGAGACACGGCCCAGACUCCUACGGGAGGCAGCAGUGGGGAAUUUUGGACAAUGGGCGCAAGCCUGAUCCAGCCAUGCCGCGUGUCUGAAGAAGGCUUCGGGUUGUAAAGGACUUUUGUCAGGGAAGCGGUACCUGAAGAAUAAGCACCGGCUAACUACGUGCCAGCAGCCGCGGUAAUAC
rnacentral:rRNA from 1 species